GGAGGGAUCGCAUAGCCAGGUCUAGUGCGGCCGCCUGCUAAGCGGUUUGUCCUUUAAUCGGGACACAUGGGUUCGAAUCCCAUUCCCUCCGCCA
rnacentral:tRNA from 2 species